GAUGAACGCUGGCGGCGUGCCUAAUACAUGCAAGUCGAGCGAAUGGAUUGAGAGCUUGCUCUCAAGAAGUUAGCGGCGGACGGGUGAGUAACACGUGGGUAACCUGCCCAUAAGACUGGGAUAACUCCGGGAAACCGGGGCUAAUACCGGAUAAUAUUUUGAACUGCAUGGUUCGAAAUUGAAAGGCGGCUUCGGCUGUCACUUAUGGAUGGACCCGCGUCGCAUUAGCUAGUUGGUGAGGUAACGGCUCACCAAGGCAACGAUGCGUAGCCGACCUGAGAGGGUGAUCGGCCACACUGGGACGGAGACACGGCCCAGACUCCUACGGGAGGCAGCAGUAGGGAAUCUUCCGCAAUGGACGAAAGUCUGACGGAGCAACGCCGCGUGAGUGAUGAAGGCUUUCGGGUCGUAAAACUCUGUUGUUAGGGAAGAACAAGUGCUAGUUGAAUAAGUUGGCACCUUGACGGUACCUAACCAGAAAGCCACGGCUAACUACGUGCCAGCCGCCGCGGUAAUAC
rnacentral:rRNA from 1 species